rnacentral:rRNA from 1 species
UACGUAGGGCGCAAGCGUUGUCCGGAAUCAUUGGGCGUAAAGCGCGCGUAGGUGGCCUCGUAAGUCCGCUGUGAAAGUCAAAGGCUCAACCUUUGAAAGCCGGUGGAUACUGUGGGCCUAGAGUACGGAAGAGGCGAGUGGAAUUCCUGGUGUAGCGGUGGAAUGCGCAGAUAUCAGGAGGAACACCAGUGGCGAAGGCGGGUCUCUGGGCAGUAACUGACGCUGAGGAGCGAAAGCGUGGGGAGCGAACAGG